rnacentral:tRNA from 1 species
UCUAAUGUGGCAGAUUAGUGCGAUGAAUUUAAGCCUCAUACAUAAAGUUUUCUUUCUUUAGAA